rnacentral:rRNA from 1 species
AUUGAACGCUGGCGGCAGGCCUAACACAUGCAAGUCGAGCGGAUGAAGGGAGCUUGCUCCUGGAUUCAGCGGCGGACGGGUGAGUAAUGCCUAGGAAUCUGCCUGGUAGUGGGGGAUAACGUCCGGAAACGGGCGCUAAUACCGCAUACGUCCUGAGGGAGAAAGUGUGGGAUCUUCGGACCUCACGCUAUCAGAUGAGCCUAGGUCGGAUUAGCUAGUUGGUGGGGUAAAGGCCUACCAAGGCGACGAUCCGUAACUGGUCUGAGAGGAUGAUCAGUCACACUGGAACUGAGACACGGUCCAGACUCCUACGGGAGGCAGCAGUGGGGAAUAUUGGACAAUGGGCGAAAGCCUGAUCCAGCCAUGCCGCGUGUGUGAAGAAGGUCUUCGGAUUGUAAAGCAAUUUAAGUUGGGAGGAAGGGCAGUAAGUUAAUACCUUGCUGUUUUGACGUUACCAACAGAAUAAGCACCGGCUAACUUCGUG